UUUUUCCGUCACCCCUUCCGGAGAAUAGUUUAUCUACCAUACGAACGAAGAGCAAUUGGAAUAAUACAAAGGUUGCUGAGUUCGAGGACAAGACGAGUUCACCUGAUUUGACGGUCGUACUUUUCGUCGUUCUUUCACAGGUUCGAUUCGCAUCUACUCAGAGGAUCUGAGGAAGUGAGAGGUGAAGGCAGCCGCGAGGGGAGGAAGCUAAACCACGAACAAGGCAGGAGAAAACGAAAACAGAGGGACCCGUAAAGGCUCAAAUCUCCAAGGGAAUAUGUUUUCUUGAUGUUAUGGUGGAGUUCAAGAGUUGGGUCUCAGAAGAGAUUUCUGAUUGUCCGGAUUUAGAGUAUUAUUAUGAGUGUUAGAUGGCCAAGAGUUCUAACACCAAACCUACUUUCCCAAAUCAUAAAGAAGCAGAAGAACCCACUAACAGCUCUUCGAAUUUUCGAGGAAGCAAAGGAGAGGUUUCCGGGCUACAGUCACAAUGGCUCAGUGUACGCCACCAUGAUUGGCAUCCUCGGGAAAUCUGGCCGUCUCUCGGAAAUGAAACAUGUCAUUGAGAGAAUGAAAGGAGAUUCUUGCGAGUGUAAAGACACAGUGUUUGCAUCAGCCAUCCGUACUUUCUCGAGAGCUGGAAGGCUGGGGGAUGCCAUCUCUCUAUUUAAGAGCCUCCCCGAGUUCAAUUGCGUGGAAUGGACUCUAUCUCUUAACACCCUUUUACAGGAGAUGGUUAAGGAUUCGAGGCUUGAAAUGGCCUGUCGCAUUUUCCAAAAGCAUUCUUAUGGAUGGGAGGUGAAGUCUAGAGAAACAUCCCUGAAUUUUCUUAUGAGGGUUCUUUGUCAGAUCAACCGCUCUGACCUGGCAGCACAUGUGUUUCAAGAGAUGAAUUACCAGGGUUGCUAUCCAGACAGAGAGAGUUACAAGAUUCUGAUGGAAGGGUUUUGUCUAGAAGGAAAACUGAACGAAGCAACGCAUCUGCUGUAUUCUAUGUUCUGGAGGAUCUCGCAGAAAGGGGCUGGUGAGGACAUUGUGGUCUACAGAAUUCUUUUAGAUGCACUAUGUGAUGCGGGGAAGAUUGAUGAAGCCAUUGAGAUUCUUGGUAAAAUCUUGAGAAAAGGGCUAAAAUCUCCUAAACGAUGCUACAAUCACAUCGAUUUUGGUCAGUGGGAUGGUAAAACCGGAAGUGUUGAGCACAUAAAACGCUUGAUAACCGAGACUUUGAUCCGAGGCACUAUUCCCAGUCUGGCUAGCUAUGAUGCCAUGGCUGCCGAUCUCUACAGCGCAGGUAGACUUGCUGAAGGUGAUGAAGUGCUUAAAGCAAUGCGAGGCAAAAGCUUCAAGCCGACACCCUCCAUUUACGAGGCUAAGGUCACCGCACUGUGUAGGGCCGGAAGGCUGGAAGACGCAAUGGCUGUGAUCGCUGGUGAGAUGAGGGAAAGUCACUGCCUUCCAACAGUUGGAGUCUAUAACAUUCUCAUAAAAGGCCUGUGCGAUGAAGGGAAAUCCAUGUUGGCAGUUGGGUAUCUCGAAAAGAUGUCUAAGCAAGUCGGGUCUGUGCCUAACGAAGAAACAUACGCAACUCUGGUUAGCGGGUUGUGUCGUGAUGGUGAAUUCCUAGAAGCAAGUCGGGUGAUGGAGGAAAUGCUGAUAAAAUCAUUCCUCCCGGGUGUUGAAACUUACAAUGUGCUUAUAAAGGGACUGUGUGGCAUGUGUAGGGGAUAUGAAGCAGUGGUGUGGUUGGAGGAAAUGGUUAGCCAAGGCAUGAUGCCCGAGUCUUCUGUCUGGAACGCCUUCCUGUCUGAAUCUGUCUGUUACAAUGCCAUUGACACUGGUGAGAUUCUCGAACAUCUAACAGAACAAGUAUGAAAUUUCUCUGAAGCAUCAAAAAGAUCGUCUUGGAACUGUCUUCAAUGAUUUCACUGCGAAAAGUGAAACGGAGUAUCAACCCUAUCUUCAUCUUCGAAUUCAUCCAGACAGAUGGUGCAGCUCGUCGUUCCUUCUGAAUCGCCUACGUCUUUGAACUUGCGGCUCAGUCGCGGGCCCACCACAACUGCAGCCGCCGGGACUCCCGAAGUUUCAGGAGCACCAGCUGACCGAGCCCUCCUCUGGUGGAAAGGUCGAGUAAUAAUCCACCAGCAAACGACGAAGACGAUGAUCACUAUCACGAAGUAUAUGGGAACUGCGUAGUACCACUUGGAAAGUACUGACGUAACCGACUCCAUGGCUUGUGCAAACCACUCUGGUGGAUUCUCCUCCAUGGUAGAUGAGAUCAUGAGAGAUUAGAUUUGUAAACUUUGCUUCUUUUUUUUUUUUUUGUUAAUUAUUGAAGCCGAGUGUGUGUAUAUAUAGAUUUCCUUUUUUCUAGUUACAGUAGGAGUAGGAUACGUAUUCCUUGUAUAAUUACUAUUUUUUUUAGAAAAAAAACAGAUGGAUUGGACCCAAAUUGGGAACUUUCCAAAUCUGUUAUGUGUU